CCUACGGGAGGCAGCAGUGGGGAAUAUUGGUCAAUGGGCGCGAGCCUGAACCAGCCACGUCGCGUGAAGGAUGACUGCCCUACGGGUUGUAAACUUCUUUUAUAAAGGAAUAAAGUGAGGCACGUGUGCCUUUUUGUAUGUACUUUAUGAAUAAGGAUCGGCUAAAUCCGUUCCAGCAGCCCCGGUAAUACGGAGGAUCCGAUCGUUAUCCGGAUUUAUUGUGUUUAAAGGGAGCGUAGAGGGGUUGUUAAGUCAAGUGUGAAAGUGUGCGGCUCAACCGUAAAAUUGCAAUUGAUACUGGCAGCCUUGAGUGCAGGUGAGGUUAGCGGAAUUCGUGGUGUAGCGGUGAAAUGCUUAGAUAUCACGAAGAACUCCGAUUGCGAAGGC
rnacentral:rRNA from 1 species